rnacentral:rRNA from 1 species
AUUGAACGCUGGCGGCAUGCCUUACACAUGCAAGUCGAACGGCAGCACGGGGCAACCUGGUGGCGAGUGGCGAACGGGUGAGUAAUGCAUCGGAACGUACCUUUCAGUGGGGGAUAACGUAGCGAAAGUUACGCUAAUACCGCAUAUUCUGUGAGCAGGAAAGCAGGGGAUCGCAAGACCUUGCGCUGAUUGAGCGGCCGAUGUCAGAUUAGCUAGUUGGUGAGGUAAAGGCUCACCAAGGCGACGAUCUGUAGCGGGUCUGAGAGGAUGAUCCGCCACACUGGAACUGAGACACGGUCCAGACUCCUACGGGAGGCAGCAGUGGGGAAUUUGGACAAUGGGGGCAACCCUGAUCCAGCCAUGCCGCGUGAGUGAAGAAGGCCUUCGGGUUGUAAAGCUCUUUCGGCCGCGAAGAAAUCGCACGGGCUAAUACCCUGUGUGGAUGACGGUACCGGAAUAAGAAGCACCGGCUAACUACGUGCCAGCAGCCGCGGUAAGAC